rnacentral:lncRNA from 1 species
CGUCCGUUCGUCCAUCCGUAUCCGCGUUUGACCCUAACCCUACUUUACAUGCUAUAAUCUGCGUAGGACGUUAACCUCCCAGUUUAUGUUUACAGAUGUCAGGGACGACCAAUAUUUAUGUAUUUUUAUCAACGCAGUCAAACCUGCAACACAUGCAGCCCUUUUGAAGAAGCGACAAUUAAUUCUCGAACACCGUCGUUUGUCAAAUCUAUAUAAUCUAUGCCAUAUAAAGGUUGAGCAAAACUCUUCGUCCAGCAUAGAGUGGCCUGUAGUUUUUCCUUACAACUUUCGUUAUAUCCCUUGGUAAGCUUGUACACCAAAAAUUCCUG